GGAGGGAUACCCAAGUGGCUAAAGGGGGCAGACUGUAAAUCUGUUGGCUGGUGCCUUCGAUGGUUCGAAUCCAUCUCCCUCCA
rnacentral:tRNA from 1 species